rnacentral:rRNA from 1 species
AACGAACGCUGGCGGCAGGCCUAACACAUGCAAGUCGAGCGAGAUCUUCGGGUCUAGCGGCGGACGGGUGAGUAACGCGUGGGAAUAUGCCCUUCUCUGCGGAAUAGCCUCGGGAAACUGAGCGUAAUACCGCAUACGCCCUUUGGGGGAAAGAUUUAUCGGAGAAGGAUUAGCCCGCGUUGGAUUAGGUAGUUGGUGGGGUAACGGCCUACCAAGCCGACGAUCCAUAGCUGGUUUGAGAGGAUGAUCAGCCACACUGGGACUGAGACACGGCCCAGACUCCUACGGGAGGCGGCAGUGGGGAAUCUUAGACAAUGGGGGCAACCCUGAUCUAGCCAUGCCGCGUGAGUGAUGAAGGCCUUAGGGUUGUAAAGCUCUUUCAGCUGGGAAGAUAAUGACGGUACCAGCAGAAGAAGCCCCGGCUAACUCCGU